CCUGGUGGCUCAGAUGGUAAAGAAUCUGCCUGCAGUGCAGGAGUCCCAGGUUCGAUCCCUGGGUCAGGA
rnacentral:tRNA from 1 species